CCUACGGGGGGCAGCAGUGGGGAAUAUUGCACAAUGGGGGAAACCCUGAUGCAGCGACGCCGCGUGAGUGAAGAAGUAUUUCGGUAUGUAAAGCUCUAUCAGCAGGGAAGAAAAUGACGGUACCUGACUAAGAAGCCCCUGCUAACUACAUGCCAGCAGCCGCGGUAAUACUCAGGGUGCAAGCGUUAACCGGAUUUACUGGGUGGAUAGGGAGCGUAGACGGCAGGGCAAGUCUGGAGUGAAAUCCCAUGGCUCAACCAUGGAACUGCUUUGGAAACGGGGCAGCUAGAGUGCAGGAGAGGUAAGCGGAAUUCGUAGUGUAGCGGUGAAAUGCGUAGAGAUUAGGAGGAACACCAGUGGCGAAGGCGGCUUACUGGACUGUAACUGACGUUGAGGCUCGAAAGCGUGGGGAGCAAACAGGAUUAGAUACCCCAGUAGUC
rnacentral:rRNA from 1 species